rnacentral:rRNA from 1 species
UACGAGGGGUGCAAGCGUUGCUCGGAAUCACUGGGCGUAAAGCGCACGUAGGCGGGUCGUUAAGUCGGGGGUGAAAUCCUGGAGCUCAACUCCAGAACUGCCUUCGAUACUGGCGACCUUGAGUACGGAAGAGGCGAGUGGAAUUCCCGGUGUAGCGGUGAAAUGCGCAGAUAUCGGGAGGAACACCAAUGGCGAAGGCGGCUCUCUGGACAGGUACUGACACUGAGACGCGAAAGCGUGGGUAGCAAACAGG